CCUGUCUUCCUGAGGCCUUCCAAAGCAUGCCUCACCUUGAACGUGAAUACUGAAAGAUAAGGCAGCCACCUUUAACAAGCAUGCUCUGAGAUAGAAAAUACAAGAACCUUUCAAGGACUGAGGGCCUUUUUGGUGCUGCUGGAGGAAUCUGUGGUCUAGUUAAAUGCAAAUAAAGACGAAAGCUCCAUCUCGGAAGCAAUGCCAUUUUCCCCUCAGAUCAUCAGCACACACUGAUGGAAAAUCUUGCUCUGUAACAAGAAGUGCAGAGAGGUGAGCCUUGAUCUCUGCAGCUUCAGGGGCCUUAGGCCAAGCCAGGAAAGUGCAACACCUUCUGCUCAGGCAGCCCUGCAGUCACUGGCAUUGCAAGAAACUGUGUAAAGUCUUCCUGGG